AGACAGGCCUUGGAGGAGCUGAUGUCACCUGGCAUUUCGCCUGCUCCUGCCCCUGGAGCCCUCCUCCCCCUUCGCGGGCAGCCCAGAACAACGACACUUGGACACUCAAGAUCAGCUCCGAAUACCCACCGGAAGUGCGACGGUCACAGAGCAAACGUGUGCGUAGGUACACACACGUACACUCCCACACCCACAGUCCGUGCGCGUAGACACUACAGCUGCCUGAUCCCACGCCAGAGAUGAUUCUCCUCUGAUCACAAAAUCUUACAAUACGAGUACCCUGAAAGAGGAGAAAACAGCAGUCACCAUGGAUGUGAGACCACUGGGACCCUCUCGCGUAGGUGGCCGUCCAAUUCUGGGUGUGGGGCCCCAGGACACCUGCUCCCCCAGCCUGCUGGAUCCCUUUCCGCAUCAGCGAGACAGAGGUAGGCCAGGGCGGCCAGGGGCU